GAUAAACGCUAGCGGCAGGCUUAACACAUGCAAGUCGAGGGGCAGCAUAGAUUGUAGCAAUACAAUUGGUGGCGACCGGCGCACGGGUGCGUAACGCGUAUGCAACCUACCCGUCACAGGGGGAUAAUCCGGAGAAAUCUGGUCUAAUACCCCAUAACAUAUGGAUCGGCAUCGGUUCAUGUUGAAAUUUUCGGAGGUGACGGAUGGGCAUGCGUAGCAUUAGCUUGUUGGUGAGGUAACGGCUCACCAAGGCGACGAUGCUUAGGGGGACUGAGAGGUGUUCCCCCCACACUGGGACUGAGACACGGACCAGACUCCCACGGGAGGCAGCAGUGAGUAAAAUUGGUCAAUGGGCGCAAGACUGAACCAGCCACGCCGCGUGCAGGAUGACGGCUCUAUGAGUUGUAAACUGCUUUUGUACGAGGGUAAAGUGGGUUACGUGUAACCUUUUGAAAGUAUCGUACGAAUAAGGAUCGGCUAACUCCGUGCCAGCCGCCGCCGUAA
rnacentral:rRNA from 1 species